AUUGGAGGGCAAGUCUGGUGCCAGCAGCCGCGGUAAUUCCAGCUCCAAUAGCGUAUAUUAAAGUUGUUGCCGUUAAAAAGCUCGUAGUUGAACCUUGGACCUGGCCGAUCUGUCCUCCUAACCGAGCGCACGGAUUCGGUCGGGUCUUUCCUUCUGGGGAACCCGAUGCCCUUCACUGGGUGUCGUGGGGAACCAGGACUUUUACCUUGAAAAAAUUAGAGUGUUCAAAGCAGGCCUUUGCUCGAAUACAUUAGCAUGGAAUAAUAAAAUAGGACAUCGGUUCUAUUUUGUUGGUUUCUAGGACCGCUGUAAUGAUUAAUAGGGAUAGUCGGGGGCGUCCGUAUUCAAUUGUCAGAGGUGAAAUUCUUGGAUUUAUUGAAGACGAACUACUGCGAAAGCAUUCGCCAAGGAUGUUUUCAUUAAUCAGUGAACGAAAGUUAGGGGAUCGAAGACGAUCAGAUACCGUCGUAGUCUUAACCAUAAACUAUGCCGACUAGGGAUCGG
rnacentral:rRNA from 1 species